rnacentral:tRNA from 1 species
GGAGAAUUAGCUCAGCUGGGAGAGCAUCUGACUUUUAAUCAGAGGGUCGGCGGUUCGAACCCGUCAUUCUCCACCA